rnacentral:rRNA from 1 species
UGAGCAACCUGCCCCUGGCUCUGGGAUAACUCCGGGAAACCGGAGCUAAUACCGGAUACGAGACCGAUUGGCAUCUUUACGGUCUGGAAAGUUUUUCGGCCAGGGAUGGGCUCGCGGCCUAUCAGCUUGUUGGUGGGGUAACGGCCCACCAAGGCGACGACGGGUAGCCGGCCUGAGAGGGUGACCGGCCACACUGGGACUGAGACACGGCCCAGACUCCUACGGGAGGCA